rnacentral:rRNA from 1 species
GUAGUCUCGCACAGAUGCAUAUCAAUAAGCGGAGGAAAAGAAACUAACAAGGAUUCCCCUAGUAACGGCGAGUGAAGCGGGAAGAGCUCAAAUUUGAAAUCUUAAAGGGUUUCCCUUUACGAAUUGUAGUUUAAAGAGGUGUUUUCUGUUGAGGUUUUGGUAAAAGUUCUUUGGAAUAGGACAUCAUAGAGGGUGAGAAUCCCGUAUUUGACCUUCACUUUCAACUUUGUGAUACACUUUCAAAGAGUCGGAUUGUUUGGGAAUGCAGUCCAAAAGUGGGUGGUAAAUUUCAUCUAAAGCUAAAUAUUGGCGAGAGACCGAUAGCGAACAAGUACCGUGAGGGAAAGAUGAAAAGAACUUUGAAAAGAGAGUUAAACAGUACGUGAAAUUGUCAAAAGGGAAGCGUUUGACACCAGUGUUGUUUUUCUGAAAAUCAAUUAAAGAACUGUUUAUGCUAAGUUGUUUAGACUUUAUCAGCUAUCUGUUUAGUUUUGAGCUUUUCUUUAAUGCACUUUUCAGUUAACAAGUCAACAUCAAUUUCUUUUGCUGUAAAAAAGCUUGAGGAAGGUGGCUUGAGAUUCGUCUUAAGUGUUUAUAGCCUCUUGCCUAUGCAGUCGGAGAGAUUGAGGUCUGCAGCGUAGAUCCUUCGGGGCUAAAUGCAUUUGUGCUAAGUUAUAGCAUUUCAUAGACAACUUGUUGACUAUGAUUUGUCUUGUAGCUUACUCGCUUAUGUUAUUUUACCUACGCUUAGGAUGUUGACAGCAGUAUAGACUG